GGUUCCGUAGCUCAGCUGGAUAGAGCAAUAGCCUUCUAAGCUAUGGGUCGUGGGUUCGAAUCCCGCCGGAAUCACAA
rnacentral:tRNA from 1 species